ACCUUCCCCUGAGCCCUGGCAGCUCAAACCCAGCGGCUGCCCCAUGGCCCGGGCAGGGAGCGCUGCACGCAGGGCGCCGCUCCCCGGGCCCCAGCGCUGGGAGGAAGCGGAGCAGCGCCAGUGCUGCCCGCGGUGCCAGGAGCCCAUCCCCCGGAGCCUGCUGCAGCCCUGGGGGCAGCUGGGGAGCACGCUGCUGAACCCACAAGCCCGAGGGUCUGCUCCUGCCCUGGGAUCUGUGUGAGCGAGUGCUGGGGGUGCUGAAAUCUGGCAUCUGGGAAGCCAUUGGCGGCAAUUUGUAAAAAAGCACCUUCUUCGCCCCCUCUGCCUUCUUCUAGAUGUCACAAGUGAGGAAAGAGAGAAGAAAGCAAAACUUAUAGGGAGAGGAAAAACAAAGAGCCACUGGGUCUGGUGACCUUCGAGGAGGUGGCUGUGUAUUUCACACGGGGCAGGGGGCUCUGCUGGACCCCGGUCAGAGAGCCCUCUACAGGGACGUCAUGCAGGAGAAUUACAAGACAGUGACCUCACUAUGGCAUCUGAUUUCUAAGCCCAAUAUGAUGUCCCAGCAGGAGCGAGGGGAAGACCCAGGCCUCCAGUACUCAGAGAAAAGGGAGAGUCCAGGGAGCACCUGCACAGACCCAUUGACACAGGAAGUAAAAAGUUGGGAUUCCCACAAAGGCCUCCUGAGCUCCCCCAAAUUCUACCUCAUCUCACCCAGGUCAGAGCUGUCCCCAGCCGGUGUCGUAUCAUCACAUCAGAUGUUACUCAUGGCUUCCUGCCCCGGCUGACUGAUACCUGGCCAUAGCUCCCUUCCCCCUGAGUGUUCAGAUGGAUGCAGAGGCAGAACUGGUCCUUUCCCUUCACCCAGAGGAGAGACAGGAGAUCUGCUUCUGAUUUUUGUAUGUGAACAGUUGGUUUUGUUUUGAGGUUUGCCCGUCUCUGAGAUCCCCUGUCUCCCUGGCACAGGGGAUGACUCGUGUUUGGGGUUUCUUUCUAUCCCAGCAGGUGACUUGACAGUGGCUGAGAACAAGGAGGAGAAUUCUCAGCAGGAGGGCCCUGAGCCAGUGGAGCUGCAUGGGACAGUGUCAAUAAAAUCCGAGAGGAAUGUGUCCCUAAGCCCUGAAUGGGGGGGAAUCAGUAAAAACCGAAGGGAACGCUUCACAGAGUUGUGAGCAGGAAAAAGUCUGUGAAUCUCAGUGUGGAUCAGAAAGGCUGUAAGGAAACUAGCUGGGGACAAGUCAGGAUAAACCCACUCAUGGCGUGGGAGGUUUGAAGGAACUCAACAAAAGUGUAACCCAGCUGAGCAACCCAGUGGGAGGGAGACCCCACAGGUGCGCUGAGUGUGGGAAAAGCUUUAGUUGCAACUCAUGCCUUUACAGGCACCGGAGAACCCACACGGGCGAGAGGCCUUAAAAGCAGGGCUUUGUAGUGGAGCCCAGAGCUGAAGCAUGGAGCAGCUUCGGAGAAGUGGAGCUGCAGGUUUUUGCCCGGAGCUGGAGCGGAGCCGGAGCACAGCUCCAAAGCCCUGCUUACAAGUGCCCCAACUGCGAGAAAAGAUUCUGCAGCAGCUAGACCCUUGCCAGCCAUCACAGGCUGCACAUGGGAGAGAAACCCUACGUCUGCUCUGAGUGCAGGAAGAGCUUUAGCUACAGCUCAUCCCUCGUGACGCACCGGCGAGUCCACACGGGCAACACACCCUAUUCCUGCCUGGGCUGCAGGAAGAGCUUCCAGCAGAGAUCCAACCUCGCUGUGCAUCAGAUACUCCACUGUGUGAAAAGACCUUAAAUAAACAAACCCCCGCCCCAUCCCCAGAGCAUUUGCAGUUCUCAGGAAUGCCAGGGGGCAUUCAGUGGCUGGCUGCCUGUCUCUGGGGUCAGGAGACAGCAGAACCUACUCCAGCCUGAUCGGUACCGUUCUCUGGCUCAGUAGGCAGAGGAGGAAAGACCCUGGUCAGUUCCACCUUCCUGCUGCAGCCCGAGCUUCUAAGUCCUUUGCUUCAUGGCAGGGGAGAAAGAUCCUCCCAUCUGCUUUCUGGGCCUGGGAUGGACUCCUCUCCAUUCCCUAUCCCUGGAGAAGGAUACGCCGGCCAUGCCUCACUCCUGAGACCUGUGCCUAGCUUCCCCCAGCACCUGGGCUGGGAUCCCCAUUCACCUGAAUUUGUUACCUGGGGGAUGGACACCCUGUAGACCUUGUAACACUCUCAAAGCCCCCAGAGAACUGGCUGCUAGGCCUUGAGCUGUUUGGGUAUCCCUUCCCCAAAUGGUUAUUUGUCUCACGGCCAUCUGUUUUUGCUCAUUUUCUCCUCUCUCGUCUCAGAGACUUCCCAGAUGGCUGAAAUAUGAAAAAUUACCAAUAAUAAAACAAACGUGUGCUGAGUCUCAGGCCCCUGGUUACAGGAGACUCAGCAG